AUUGAACGCUGGCGGCAGGCUUAACACAUGCAAGUCGAGCGGAGAUGAGGUGCUUGCACCUUAUCUUAGCGGCGGACGGGUGAGUAAUGCUUAGGAAUCUGCCUAUUAGUGGGGGACAACAUUCCGAAAGGAAUGCUAAUACCGCAUACGUCCUACGGGAGAAAGCAGGGGAUCUUCGGACCUUGCGCUAAUAGAUGAGCCUAAGUCGGGUUAGCUAGUUGGUGGGGUAAAGGCCUACCAAGGCGACGAUCUGUAGCGGGUCUGAGAGGAUGAUCCGCCACACUGGGACUGAGACACGGCCCAGACUCCUACGGGAGGCAGCAGUGGGGAAUAUUGGACAAUGGGCGGAAGCCUGAUCCAGCCAUGCCGCGUGUGUGAAGAAGGCCUUUUGGUUGUAAAGCACUUUAAGCGAGGAGGAGGCUACCUAGAUUAAUACUCUGGGAUAGUGGACGUUACUCGCAGAAUAAGCACCGGCUAACUCUGUGCCAGCCGCCGCUGUAAUAC
rnacentral:rRNA from 1 species